rnacentral:rRNA from 1 species
CGGUAAGGUGAUAUGAACCGUUAUAACCGGCGAUACCCGAAUGGGGAAACCCAGUGUGAUUCGUCACACUAUCAUUAACUGAAUCCAUAGGUUAAUGAGGCGAACCGGGGGAACUGAAACAUCUAAGUACCCCGAGGAAAAGAAAUCAACCGAGAUUCCCCCAGUAGCGGCGAGCGAACGGGGAGGAGCCCAGAGCCUGAAUCAGCAUGUGUGUUAGUGGAAGCGUCUGGAAAGGCGCGCGAUACAGGGUGACAGCCCCGUACACAAAAGCGCAUGUGCUGUGAGCUCGAUGAGUAGGGCGGGACACGUGGUAUCCUGUCUGAAUAUGGGGGGACCAUCCUCCAAGGCUAAAUACUCCUGACUGACCGAUAGUGAACCAGUACCGUGAGGGAAAGGCGAAAAGAACCCCGGCGAGGGGAGUGAAAAAGAACCUGAAACCGUGUACGUACAAGCAGUGGGAGCACCCUUUGGGUGUGACUGCGUACCUUUUGUAUAAUGGGUCAGCGACUUAUAUUCUGUAGCAAGGUUAACCGAAUAGGGGAGCCGGAGGGAAACCGAGUCUUAACCGGGCGUUAAGUUGCAGGGUAUAGACCCGAAACCCGGUGAUCUAGCCAUGGGCAGGUUGAAGGUUGGGUAACACUAACUGGAGGACCGAACCGACUAAUGUUGAAAAAUUAGCGGAUGACCUGUGGCUGGGGGUGAAAGGCCAAUCAAACCGGGAGAUAGCUGGUUCUCCCCGAAAGCUAUUUAGGUAGCGCCUCGUGAAUUCAUCUCCGGGGGUAGAGCACUGUUUCGGCUAGGGGGCCAUCCCGGCUUACCAACCCGAUGCAAACUGCGAAUACCGGAGAAUGUUAUCACGGGAGACACACGGCGGGUGCUAACGUCCGUCGUGAAGAGGGAAACAACCCAGACCGCCAGCUAAGGUCCCAAAGUCAUGGUUAAGUGGGAAACGAUGUGGGAAGGCCCAGACAGCCAGGAUGUUGGCUUAGAAGCAGCCAUCAUUUAAAGAAAGCGUAAUAGCUCACUGGUCGAGUCGGCCUGCGCGGAAGAUGUAACGGGGCUAAACCAUGCACCGAAGCUGCGGCAGCGACACUGUGUGUUGUUGGGUAGGGGAGCGUUCUGUAAGCCUGUGAAGGUGUGUCGUGAGGCAUGCUGGAGGUAUCAGAAGUGCGAAUGCUGACAUAAGUAACGAUAAAGCGGGUGAAAAGCCCGCUCGCCGGAAGACCAAGGGUUCCUGUCCAACGUUAAUCGGGGCAGGGUGAGUCGACCCCUAAGGCGAGGCCGAAAGGCGUAGUCGAUGGGAAACGGGUUAAUAUUCCCGUACUUGGUGUUACUGCGAAGGGGGGACGGAGAAGGCUAUGUUGGCCGGGCGACGGUU